GACGAAUGCUGGCUGCGUGCUUAACACAUGCAAGUCGAACGGUGAAGGAGGGCUUGCCCUCCGGAUCAGUGGCGAACGGGUGAGUAACACGUGGGCAACCUGCCCCUCACUCUGGGAUAACGCCGGGAAACCGGCGCUAAUACCGGAUACGACCAGGCGCGACAUCUCGCCUGGUGGAAAGAAUUUCGGUGAGGGAUGGGCCCGCGGCCUGUCAGCUAGUUGGUGGGGUAACGGCCCACCAAGGCGACGACGGGUAGCCGGCCUGAGAGGGCGACCGGCCACACUGGGACUGAGACACGGCCCAGACUCCUACGGGAGGCAGCAGUGGGGAAUAUUGCGCAAUGGGCGAAAGCCUGACGCAGCGACGCAGCGUGAGGGACGAAGGCCUUCGGGUUGUAAACCUCUUUCAGCGGGGACGAAGCGAAAGUGACGGUACCCGCAGAAGAAGCACCGGCUAACUACGUGCCAGCCGCCGCAGUAACAC
rnacentral:rRNA from 1 species